rnacentral:rRNA from 1 species
UACGAAGGGGGCUAGCGUUGUUCGGAAUUACUGGGCGUAAAGCGCACGUAGGCGGACUAUUAAGUCAGGGGUGAAAUCCCGGGGCUCAACCCCGGAACUGCCUUUGAUACUGGUAGUCUCGAGUCCGGAAGAGGUGAGUGGAAUUCCGAGUGUAGAGGUGAAAUUCGUAGAUAUUCGGAGGGACACCAGUGGCGAAGGCGGCUCACUGGUCCGGUACUGACGCUGAGGUGCGAAAGCGUGGGGAGCAAACAGG